GGGCAAUUGAGAUUUAAUUAAAAACUUAGUGGGCCAGCACCCAGUCACACACUCACUCUCUUGUACCGGCUUUGAUUUAUGGUUUAAGCCAAAUAGUGUUUGGGGGCGCUGUGGGAGGACCUUAAUUCCUGUGCUCUGCAUCUUAAAUCUUGCACGGAAAAUGAACAAAAAUGAUAUAUAGAAAAUAAUCAUAAUUUUCACACUUGAAAGAGCAACACAAGAGUCCCAGACCCGCGGCUGGCGGCUGGCGCGGCUUUUGCAUUAUUUCUUAAUUAAAUUUAUUAAUUGCACACAACACGAGCCGACGGCCGUACAACGGGGCGUAUGCGCUACACACCGCCCCCACAGGCGAAAAUAAAGAAACAAGAUAGAAAGAUAUAAAGAUACAAAGGAGAGGCGGGAGAAUCUGCAAAGGCAUUUGAAUGAUUCAUUUGCGUGCCGAAAACUUAAUUGUGCUGGCAGGUAAGCUGCGAUGACGCCAACAAGGGCCAGCAUCAAAUCAGAGAUUGCCCCAAAAUGGUCAGGAGGAUGGUCCUCUUGCAGAAAUGACUUUCCUGCAAGCUGUCAGGCCAAGAAUAUCAGAGACAUUCGUCACCUACUCACCCACUCACCUUUAACCCCCUGGCGCGCCGUCACAGCCGCAAACAAAACAAUUAGUCUCGAGAAAAAGACAGCUUUUCGAAAAAUGUGUCAUAUUCGUCUAAAAUAAAUACUGAAUUAUUUUGGUGCGCCUCGAAUAUUUUGUUAUUUUUGAAGCCAGUUGGCGAUUUUCGUCCUAAAAUUAAUUAAAGUAAGCGGGAAAAUUUCUAGAAACUAGGACAGCGAGUGUCAAAGAAAACUUUUUAAUUUAAAGUUUGUCGAGUUUUCCAACUAAAUAUCUCGCUGAAGACCAGCAUUGUUGACUUUUAUUUGCGAUUUGCGAGGACUCGUGCCCCGAAAAGUAAACAUUUGCAUAAUUUAAGUUUGAUGUGGAAAGUUACGCUGCUAAAAUGACAACAAGCUGGAUGACUGGCUGCUGGAUGACUGGCGGAACUGAACGCUUCAAUGGCUAAACAGGUGCAGCAGGUACCCUGCCACCCAGCCACCCUGCCACCCUGCCAUUGCCACGGCAACUGCAACAUUGUUGUAUGAAAUAUUGAGAGCAUUUGCUUUCAAUGUUGCCAGGAGGAAAAAAAAGAAUCAGCAAAAAAAAAAAAUAAGCUAAAGGAGCAACCUUGCCGAUUAACGGCUACAGGUGUUUGGCGCUGAUGCAGCACAUGGAUUUUGCGGAUUUACAUUUAAGUAUACAGAUUUAUUUAUAUUUCAGAUAUAUGUGCGGAAAAAUUGCCAAAAAUCUCUCUCCCCAUACGUAUCUAUAUACUUUCGGGCAGCGGACUAUGCGCUUUUGCUUUUUGGAUUUUUAGUUUCUGGGUCCAACGUAUGCAUAAUCUGUCUGAUUAUUUAUCUUGCGCUAAAUACAAAUAUUUAGAAAAUA